CACUAGUAGCUCAGUCUUCAGAGCGUCG
rnacentral:tRNA from 1 species